GGCUUCGACCCUGGUUCUCCCACCUAUGUGCUUUUCAAACACAUUUGCUGAUAGCAGAUGUAUUAGUCACUGCUCCUAGGCAAGAGUAGUGCCCACGAAAACCGCUCAUUUGGGGUAAAGAAGCAAAGAGUUGGCUUUGUUUCUGGCAUGCAAACGCGAGGUCCUUUGCCAGUGCUGACUUUCACCUUGGGUCUCUGACUGGGGAAAGGGCCUCUGCGCGCAUCUCCAGGUCGUCCUGCUGUCCGGGUCCUGAAGAGCAUGCCCUGCCUUUGCAGGGCGUUUCCGCGAGUUCAUGUGAGCCUCACCUGUUUCAGCCAUUGGAGAUGCUCACGAGCGUCACAUCUUCCACUCAAACACAGAGCACCAUUGUCAGCUGCGUGGGUGGUUGAGGGGUGGGUGAGGAGGUAAAAUUAAUUUAGGCUUUCAAAGGCCUUAGGAAAUAUUCAGAAAACUUAAUGGAGUUUGAGAACUUUGAUUUAUUUUAAGUGUCAAAAGCAGUUUGCAAACCUGCAUGUCCUGUCUAAAUCCACUUUUAUUACAAACACACACACACAUAUAGGUACACACAUAGAAAACAACUCUGCGUGAAACGCAGUGAGCUAUCCACAUUGGUUCUGGGGGAUAAGUGUAAUUAAUUAUCAAGGUUAAGUUAAUGAGCUUUGUCAAAUAGCCAUGGAUUCAAAUUCUGCCCCCCUCACUAAUUGGCUGAGAGAUGUGACAUUGGAUAAGCAGUUUAGCCUUGGUGCAGGUCCAGGGCCUUAUCCGUAGAUUGGCUUUUGAAAUAGUGCCCGCCUCCCAGUUAAGAGCACACUGUAGGUGCGAGCACUACUUACUACUGUUUCUGCUUUUUCCUCCCCUCUUUUCUCCUUAUGUGAACAUGUGUUGCUUUUUGUACUUUGAAAAAUAAAAAGUGAAGUUUCUGUUCUGUUUUUAAGAAUCAGCCAAGGACUGGCAGAACUGUUUUCAUCAAUUUGCAUCUUUGCUUAAAGCCAGUUGUCCGAAAGCCUCUCCAAACAGCUUAAUCUUGAUGAUUUUUCUAGAACUAAUGCUUCCUAGAGAAAUCUCCCACUUUCCUUCAGCACUGGGUAUUUCAGGCUGUGAGCUGCAGGUGCCGAUUAGCCCUCGUGCAUCUCAGCCCCUCUCUACGUGAUGCUGGCAUAAUGACCUCCUGAUGCCAUUUUCCUGGAGGCGGGCGUUUGGGUGAGGGCGGAGUUCCCAACUUCGCUGGACUCUGUUCUUCAACCUAAAAUCCCUUGGCAGGUCUGAAAAUUAAGAGAACAAAGAGCGACAAUCUGAAGAAGGCAGGAGUGGACACUGUGAAAAUGUAGAAUAAGCCUGUUUCUGUGGUUGGACCUUGAGUUUGGGCCUAGGUUCCCUUACAGUUGAGGCUGGAAGAAAACCACGUUGCUUGCUAUUGGCAGGGAAUCAAAACUAUGUCCCACAAGCCCAUCUGCAGAGGUGAUGUUCUCCCUGAAAUUGAACUUCAGUAGGCGCCUCCUUCCCAGGUCCACACGUGAGGCCUUGGGCAACCAGCAAGCAAAGGUAUGCUCACCUGUGGUUUUACAAAAGACACAGAAAUGCAUUUAGAUUGGACGGUUCUUAUAUCAGCACCGCCCCCCCCAUUGGAAUAACCCUGAAUCAUGGCUCAGUGAAGGCGUUUCUGCGAGAAGGAAGGACAAUAACCUCCAGGUACCUUCAUUUUCUGUCUUUCUUAAUGCAGAGGAAGUGAAGGUGGGAGGCUCCAUUAAAACCUGGGUGAGGGGCCUGGGAGUCGGGAGCGUCUAGGCCCAGAGGCCAUCUGUCCAGGCUCCGUCUGUAGCCACAACCAGUCGUGAAAUGAUAAAAUGGUAGAAGCAAAGUAGCAAACACAUUUUCUUGCCUGUUAUAAAAGUGUAUUUGUGUGCUGUGUGUGGGGGGGAAGGAAGUGUAUGUGUGUGCUGUGUGUGUGUGGGUAAGGAAGUGUACGUGUGUGCUGUUUGUGUGUGGGUAAGGAAGUGUACAUGUGUGCUGUGUGUGUGUGGGAUAAGGAAGUGUGUGUGUGUGCUGUGUGUGGGGGGUUAAGGAAGUGUACAUGUGUGCUGUGUGUGUGUGGGAUAAGGAAGUGUACGUGUGUGCUGUGGGGGGGUAAGGAAGAGUACGUGUGUGCUGUGUGUGUGUGGGUAAGGAAGGGUAUUUGUGUGCUGUGUGUGUGUGGGAUAAGGAAGUGUACGUGUGUGCUGUUUGUGUGUGGGUAAGGAAUGUACAUGUGUGCUGUGUGUGGGGGGGAAGGAAGUGUAUGUGUGUGCUGUGUGUGGGGGGGGUAAGGAAGUGUACGUGUGUGCUGUGUGUGUGGGGGUAAGGGGUGAGUGGGGAGAGGAUGCCAUUCAAGCACAGGGCACCCUUUUUAUUUCUUGCUCACACUUUGUGCCCCGUGUGGGUUGACAGAGUCCCUGCACGCACAGUCACUCCGGGACCCAGGUUGACUUUAUCUCCUCUGUCUCGUGCCGUACCGUCUGGCACAGGUGGCCUUCUUGCUCACCACUGGAGAUGGUCACGACAGCGCCUGUAUGCUUUGAUUUGGAAUGUCACCUGUCACUCCCACUAAACAGCCUACUGGUCAGAACCAGUCACAUGACCUUGUGGAAGGUGGGAGUGUAUACUUUGCCCUGGACCCAGACAGAGAAGAAAAUCAGAUGUGUGUGCACAUUCCUCGUCUUUACCAAAGUGAUGCUCCUUUGCCUACAGAGAAAUGAAUUAAUGGGCUCUACUGUUGGUUAAUUCCAUCAGUCUUGGUCAUAGAGAAAAAGACAGGCUUUUGUUCAAAACCUCAUUGUGUUGGACCUCGAGAAUUAUUUAUAACAUGUCAAAAGAAAUGCCACCAGAUGCAGGAUACAUUGAAUUUAGGAAACGUACACUUGAAAAGCAUGUGGGAAAAACCACUUUUGAGUGAAAUUAAGAUAAAUUUAUGAGUGACAGGUUUACAGUGAGAUGACUGCGAUUAUCUUCCUGAUCUCCGCUGGCAGAUUCGAGGAGGAAGAACAUGUGGGUUUUGGUGCUAAGAUGCAAACUGGGGUGUGCGGAUGUGUGGUCCUGGUUCAUCGUAACUUUUCCUUGGUCUCACACCUUGUUGUUCGUUCCCGUUAAGGUAAAAGAAGGACUUGAAUAGGUUUUCAGCAGAAGGAUGAGAGUUAAAAUAUCUUAAAGACGUGUUAAGACAGUAUGUAGUCAGUUUUAGAGUCACAUGACAGCAACAGACAUCAGAGAUAAGCAAAAAUGUCACUGUUUCUGUUAGGUCUUGGUUCAGCGGCAUAAAACAGAAAACCUGAGUUUGGCUUAAACAUAGAAAGGCUUAUGUUCUCACUUAAAAGAAGUCUAGGGCAAAGCAGCUAGUCCAGGACAGAGAGGAGGGUCCCGUAAAGACAUCAAAGACUCUUCGUAAUUUUCUUUUCUGUCUUCUCAGCCAUUUGGCUUCAGUCCUCCAAAGUUUGCCUCUUGAUCAAGAUGCCUCCUGCAGCGCCUCCACUGAGCUCCGUGUGAGCCCAAGCCACAGAAAGCAGGAGGCAGAAGGUGGGAUGAGCCUUCCUGCUGAGUCGGCCCUGUAAGGAGUCUCCCAGAGACGGAGGCGCAGCUCAGCACUCGCUAACAUCUCAUUGGACGAGGCUGUGUCACAUGACUCCACCUGGCUGCAAGGCAGGCUGGGGAAUAGUUUUGCUGUGUUUACCCGAGCACAUUGCCCUGCUGUGUCAUUUGCCUUCUGAGACUAAGGAGAGGUGGAAUGGAAUAUUGUCCACCUGCUAUUGGCGUUGAGAGCUGCCACCUACAGGGCUGCCUGCUUGCCUUGACAGUGAACCUCUCCCACCCCUCACGGGACUCCCAGAUACCUGUCCCCCAAAAGAGAUUUACAGGGGAAGCUUAUCUUUGGGACCUCCGCUUAGACUUUGUAUACACCCCUUCAAUUUUUUGAUUUCUCCCAGGAAUCUAGUGGCGUCACUUCCGAGUCCUGUGCUGUCGUGCCUGCCAGAAUUGCCCUCCUGCCAGUAGCCUGUGCUCUCAACUUGCCUGUUGUUUCUUCCUUAAUUUAGUCUAUCCUGCUGAUCUCAGAUAAGAAGAAAACAAUCAAAUGCAACCACAUUAAAUGAUAUUCUUCAGAGAGCAUAUUCCAAUUAGAAAAUGAAUAUUUUGUGUCAGUUCAGGUAUUAGGGCUGAAGGAAGGGAUGUUUUCAAACACUAAAGAUGGCAAUCAUUUUAAGAACAGGAGCUCCUAGCUUUUAGUAACAGAAAACUGUGUUAUAAGUAGUUUGCACAGUGUGUUAGCUAGCGGGCUGUUAUUCCUCUGGCCCCAGGUCCUCCAUGGUGUCCGUACUGGCACCAAGCCCCAUACGUGUGAAAACAGUCCACCAACUCUGACGGUCGUUGCUUGGUUGUUGGAACUCCCAGUAUGCACCUUCAUCAGUUGUUUGGACCCUGAUGUGGAAAUGUUUCAGUGGUUGCCACGUCCCAGGUACCAUAUCGAAUGUACCCAAUCCUGUAAUAGGAAAAUCUGGGUACAAGGGCAGUUCCCCUUACUAAAUCCUCGGUGAUAAUGGAGGCUUUAAGCCUGUAAGACCAGCCCUCACCUUUUGUGCUCCCUGGGUUGUAGAGGGAACAUCCAUCCUCAGAACAGGAACUUGUCAGAAUCCUUGGAUAUACUGACAAUACAUUGAUGAGACUUGAACGCCGAUAAAUUGUAUAGCUCCCAGGGCUCAGUAGGUCCCCUGUCUCUCUGCUUAUGAAUCAAAAACCCUGUUUAUUUGUAUCAAGGACAGAUGAUACUUUAAUCAUUAAUAAACUAACGUUUCAGCAGCCUGCCAUAAAUUUCUUGUCAAAGAAGGGAUUAUUAUUAGAACCCACUGUGAUGAAAGAUAAUCUCUACCUAGACUCACCUCCCUCACUUUUAAAGCCUGCGGUUGUAGGGCUUGGAGGUUACUACAAGAGGAAAAGCCUCACAAGCAGAAACCCUUGUUUCCUGCUUUCAGCAGGAAAAAAAAAAAAAAUUUGUGAAUUAACCGAUUUGCAUGUUUUGACCAAGAUCCGGCACACGCUCUUUCCCAUGAAUAAAAAAUUGAAUUUUGAGAGCAAAUAUUUUGGUAAGGAAACAGAGAACCGAUAGUAGUAUUCUUUCUGAUGGUAAUUGCUGAACAGGAGCCAUCUUUCAGUAAACGUGGACAUUUAUUAAUUAAUUAUUAAUAGUCAAAUCUGACUCUUUAAUAACAGUGCAGCCGUAGUUAGGAUUUAUUGACAGCUCCGGGCUGCGCGUGGCGCCUCCCUUAUCUUAUUUAAUCUUCCCGACCGCCUCCUUCAGUGGACACCUUCUCCAGCUUAUCCAUGGUUCCUCACUGGCCGAUGAGGAAACUGUGGCUGAAUUAAGUGACUGCCAACGUCAGCCAGCUUUGGAGUGGCAGAGCUGCAAGGAGACAAGGCUGCAUGGCACGGAAGGCGUUUUCUAACUCAGGGCAAUGUACAGUGGGGUCCAGUGAGGCUAUUAAAAAUGAGAUUAUUUCCAGAAGCAGAUGGCGAGCCACGUGGGAAUUCAGUCUUCAUGGUCAUGUUAAGCGGAGACCGAGGUGAUGACAUCGCGCGCCGCCUCCGAGGGAAGCUGGGCCUCAGCUCCCCCGGGGCUGGCAAGAGUGCUUUCAUGAACGGGGCCCUCCUCCUUCCUGGCGGCAUUCAGUCCGGGGGUGCAGCUUGCAGGAGUCAGAAGGAGAGCUGUUUGGAGUAGGCCACAGUCCUGGUCCCAGCUCAGGGGUGCAGGAAUUUGGUUCGUGAGGGUGACGGCGGCGGGAAUGAUGGCUUUUGAGCAGGCAGCCCAAAAGCUCCUGCCACGGGAUCCUCCCUGGCGCCCAUGUCGGCACCCAGUCCCUCCACAUGCCAGUGAGUCUCCUUCUGACAUCAAGCUCCAGGGCGUGUUCCAAGCUCUGCUUUCUGAGAAGGCUGUUCCCUGCACGACCGUCAUGCCUUCUGCUUGGGGAACGUCUGGCCCUUGUUUCUUUUAACCUGUAAGUUCUUUGGUCUGACUUCCCCAGGCAUAGUCCACGAUGCCUCGUAGUCGCGGUUGGCCAUUGAACGGUCACUGAGCCCCAGCUCUGGAGCAGGUUCUGUGUCAGGCUGCCAGGGCCCCCACCACAGAGGACCACAGACUGGGUGGCUUCAACAACCGGAAUUUCCUUCUUUCUGGCUGGAAGUCCAAGGUCAGGGUGGUGGCAGAGUUGGUUUCUCCUGCAGCCUCUCUGAGCCUUGGCGCUGUGUCCUUACGUGGCCAUCCCUCGGCGGGUUAGACGUGUCUCUAGUGUGUGCUCUUCUUACUAGUCCACCGUCACGUUGGGUUAGGGUCCAUCCUAUGAACUCAUUUAACCUUCAUUACCUCUUUAGUGGUGUCACGUUGGGGUAGGGCUUCCACAUAGGAAUUUGCGAGGGACAUAGUUGAGUCUGUGAACCCGCCAUGCUGGGCACGGUGGAUAAGGAGGGAACAGUCCGUACCCUCUGUCACUUUUCAGGGAAGACAGUCUUUCUGUCAUUCUUGUCAAUCUCGUAAUUAAAUAAUCACGAGAUGGUUACUGCUGUGGCAGAGUGUAAGGGCUUAACUAGUGUGGCUUAGAAAAGGCCACUCCAGCCUCGUCUAGGGGUAGGGUUUUCCCUGGGGAGGGGAGGUUGGAAUUAGGGAUGAAAGGGGGAGCUGGCUGUUGGUGGAAGACGGGCCUCAGGCCAGGAGGAAAGCAAACAGUAGGUGUCAUCAGGACUCUCAGGCACAGUCCUGUCUGGACACAGCACGUUCCAGCAGCUGAACGGCAGCCAGAGCGGCGCAGGCCUAGAAAACGGGGUGAGAGACUGUUCACAAGCACGCGGGGUCCAUCGUUAUAUCCCUUAUGAUCCCACAGUGUCUGACGCUGUGGGAUUGCAGCGAAUUUGCGUAAGAAAAGUUUGCGAUUCCACUGUUGCCAUCCUGUGUGUUGAAAUAAGAAAUUCUCCAAACUUCCGGGUGCCUAAGACUCAAUCAUGAACUUAACUUUAAAAAUGUCACUUCAUGGAGUUCCCGUCAUGGCGCAGUGGUUAACAAAUCCGACUAGGAACCAUGAGGUUGCGGGUUUGGUCCCUGCCCUUGCUCAGUGGGUUAACGAUCCGGCGUUGCUGUGAGCUGCGGUGUAGGUUGCAGACGCGGCUCGGAUCCUGCGUUGCUGUGGCUCUGGCUUAGGCCAGCGGCUACAGCUCCGAUUCGACCCCUAGCCUGGGAACCUCCAUAUGCC
rnacentral:lncRNA from 1 species